AUUGAACGCUGGCGGCAGGCCUAACACAUGCAAGUCGAACGAGGGGCGGACGGGUGAGUAAUGUGUGGGACACUGCCUGAUGGAGGGGGAUAACUACGGGAAGGGGUAUCUAAUCCCGCAAACCAUCGGAUGUGCCCAGAUGGGUUUGGCUUGUAGGGGGGGAAAGGGCUCCCUUAGGCGACGAUCCCUAGCUGGUCUGAGAGGAUGACCAGCCACACUGGGACUGAGACACGGUCCAGACUCCUACGGGAGGCAGCAGUGGGGAAUAUUGCACAAUGGGCGCAAGCCUGAUGCAGCCAUGCCGCGUGUGUGAAGAAGGCCUUCGGGUUGUAAAGCACUUUCAGCGAGGAGGCGUUACUGGCAGAAGAAGCACCGGCUAACUCCGUGCCAGCAGCCGCGGUAAUUC
rnacentral:rRNA from 1 species